rnacentral:rRNA from 1 species
CCGGAAUUAUUGGGCGUAAAGGGCUCGCAGGCGGUUUCUUAAGUCUGAUGUGAAAGCCCCCGGCUCAACCGGGGAGGGUCAUUGGAAACUGGGGAACUUGAGUGCAGAAGAGGAGAGUGGAAUUCCACGUGUAGCGGUGAAAUGCGUAGAGAUGUGGAGGAACACCAGUGGCGAAGGCGACUCUCUGGUCUGUAACUGACGCUGAGGAGCGAAAGCUGGGGGAGCGAACAGGAUUAGAUACCCUGGUAGUCCACGCCGUAAACGAUGAGUGCUAAGUGUUAGGGGGUUUCCGCCCCUUAGUGCUGCAGCUAACGCAUUAAGCACUCCGCCUGGGGAGUACGGUCGCAAGACUGAAACUCAAAGGAAUUGACGGGGGCCCGCACAAGCGGUGGAGCAUGUGGUUUAAUUCGAAGCAACGCGAGAAAGAACCUUACCAGGUCUUGACAUCCUCUGACAAUCCUAGAGAU